CAGCAUAGUGUGGGAACCACAUCGUGAAGUGUUUGGGAAUCAUCAUCCUUGACUCUUGAAAUCGGGCGCCAUUCGGUGAAACUCAAAUGGAACUGCACUAACCGAUAACUUCUACCCGCUCGCGAAACCAACAGUUUGCACGUUAAAGAUAAUUAUAGAAAACUCUGGCGGCGGUUCACUUGCGCGAAAUUCGAAUCGGGCGAUUCCUUGCUAACAUUCAUGAAGAUCUCAUCAGAUCCUUUUAAAGUCCUUGGGACACACCCACGAGUUCAAUGCCCUCAGAGAGAGCUAGAUUCUUUUCUUAACCGAACCCUUCCUUCCCGUGGAUCCUUAAGGGCACCCUUAUUACUUCCUUUCCUUUGUAAACCUGUUUGUUUUUAUUUCUUUAAAAGG
rnacentral:sRNA from 2 species